GGCCCUAUUUAAAAUGAUGUUUCAGAAUAUAUUUUUGCAGUAAAUAUCAGGGCGCCAGCAACGUUUCUAUUAUGUUUCAGGAGAAGUUUGGAUCUUUUUGAACAGUCAUUGCAGCCAUCUUUCUGAAUAAGUAUGAAAACAACACUAUGAGGACAAAGAGGAGAUAAAAGGAGUAUUGGAAAGCUUAAAGCCAGUCCCCCAAAACCACUCCAUCUCGAGAAAGAAGAAAAUAUUUGGCAUGAACUGUCCGAUCUACUACACGUAAUUUGGUCUUUUAUUAUGCACACAGUAUAUCUUCAUAUAAAAUAAUCUAGAGGCUUGUUCUCUGAGGCAUAUCAAGCAUGUUUCUGAUGGAGAAGAACGAAGCAAUUCUUCUCUUCUAUUCAAACAGUUGCAAGCAAGAUUCUAAAAUAACGCUUUAUAGUCAAGCUACGCAUUUGUUCUAAGCUUCACAUGUUUAUACCUACUAUUAAAGAGAUGAACGCUUCUUUCUCCUGUUUUUA